GGUAGGAUAGAGGCCUACCAUGGUGGUAACGGGUAACGGGGUGUUAGGGCACGACACCGGAGAGGGAGCCUGAGAAACGGCUACCACAUCCAAGGAUGGCAGCAGGCGCGCAAAUUACCCAAUCCCGACACGGGGAGGUAGUGACAAUAAAUAACAAUACGGGGUUCUUUCGGAUCUCGUAAUUGGAAUGAGUACAAUUUAAAUCUCUUAACGAGGAACAAUUGGAGGGCAAGUCUGGUGCCAGCAGCCGCGGUAAUUCCAGCUCCAAUAGCGUAUAUUAAAGUUGUUGCAGUUAAAAAGCUCGUAGUUGAAUUUCGGGACCAAUUUGUUGGUCGUGCCUCGGUACGUACUGGUAUUAUUGGUUUCUACCUUCUGAAGAACCUUGAUGUCAUUAAUUUGGUGUCUUGGGGAAUCAGGACUGUUACUUUGAAAAAAUUAGAGUGUUUAAAGCAAGCAUACGCUUGAAUACAUUAGCAUGGAAUAAUGAAAUAGGACGUUUGAUUCUAUUUUGUUGGUUUCUAGGAUCGACGUAAUGAUUAAUAGGGAUAGUUGGGGGCAUUAGUAUUCAAUUGUCAGAGGUGAAAUUCUUGGAUUUAUUGAAGACUAACUACUGCGAAAGCAUUUGCCAAGGAUGUUUUCAUUAAUCAAGAACGAAAGUUAGGGGAUCGAAGACGAUCAGAUACCGUCGUAGUCUUAACCAUAAACUAUGCCGACUAGGGAUCGGAUGAUGUUAAUUUUUUAAUGACUCAUUCGGCGCCUUACGGGAUACCAAAGUGUUUGGGUUC
rnacentral:rRNA from 1 species